GAUUAUGGCUCAGGACGAACGGCUGGCGGCAUGCCUAACACAUGCAAGUCGAACGGAGCUAAGGAGCUUGCUCUUAGCUUAGUGGCGGACGGGUGAGUAACGCGUGAGCAACCUGCCUCUCAGUGGGGAAUAAUGUACUGAAAAGGACACUAAUACCGCAUAAUGUAUCGGGAUCGCAUGGUACCGGUACCAAAGAUUUAUCGCUGAGAGAUGGGCUCGCGUCCGAUUAGCCGGUUGGUGGGGUAACGGCCUACCAAAGCUACGAUCGGUAGCCGGACUGAGAGGUUGAACGGCCACAUUGGGACUGAGACACGGCCCAGACUCCUACGGGAGGCAGCAGUGGGGGAUAUUGCGCAAUGGGGGAAACCCUGACGCCAGCAAUGCCGCGUGAAGGAUGAAGGUCUUCGGAUUGUAAACUUCUUUUGUUGGGGAUGAAUGAUGACGGUACCCAACGAAUAAGCUCCGGCUAACUACGUGCCAGCCGCUGC
rnacentral:rRNA from 1 species